AAAAAGGUCCACACGGAGGCUGGGGCUGCUGGGACCCCCACAGUUAGGUCCAGGUAGGCUGGCCCCUUCCUCCUCUCCCAGGAACCCCAACCUGCUGGGCCCAGCUCAGUCACUGCUGCCAGUGGCAAGAGAGAAAGCCCCCCGAGAGGCAGGGGCUGCCCGAGGUAUGCAGAAUGAGCUCCCCAUUGGAGGCGUAUGUCAACAAGGGGAUGGCUAGAAUUUGGCAAAGCAUUUAUGGACUGGGGAGCUUGCGGUGUGAGACCAGUGUUCUCAAAGCGUGCUCUACGGAACGCUACGGCAGGAUCACUUGGGAAGUUCAUCAGAAAUGCAGGUCCCUGGACCCCAGCACAGACCCACUGAAUCAGACUCAGAGGACACAGGGCCUGGAAUCUGGGUUUGUCACAAGCUCCCUCAAAUCUGACUCUCAUGCACAAUGACGUCUCCAAGCCACUGGACCGGAGAGCCCCUGAGGUCCCUUCUCCAGAGAGAACCUGGAUUCUCCCCAUUGUGGAGAUGGCAUCAAAGAGAACAGUGUCCUGGACAGGCGCAGUGGCUCACACCUAUAAUCCCAGCAUU
rnacentral:antisense_RNA from 1 species